rnacentral:rRNA from 1 species
GGACCCGCACAAGCAGUGGAGCAUGUGGUUUAAUUCGAAGAUACGCGCAGAACCUUACCAACGCUUGACAUGUUCGUCGCGAGACUAAGAGAUUAGUUUCUUCAGUUCGGCUGGACGAAACACAGGUGCUGCAUGGCUGUCGUCAGCUCGUGUCGUGAGAUGUUGGGUUAAGUCCCGCAACGAGCGCAACCCCCUACUUUUAGUUGCCACCAUUUAGUUGGGCACUUUAAAAGAACUGCCAGUGAUAAGCUGGAGGAAGGUGGGGAUGACGUCAAGUCCUCAUGGCCCUUAUGUGUUGGGCUACACACGUGCUACAAUGGCACUUACAAUGGGAUGCAAAGAGGCGCUCA